GGGGAAUAUUGCACAAUGGGCGCAAGCCUGAUCCAGCCUUGCCCGGUGAUUGAAGAAGGCCUUCGGGUUGUAAAGUACUUUAAGCGGGAGGGAAGGUGUUGUGGUUAAUACCCGCAGAAAUUGACGUUACCCGCGGAAGAACACCCGGCAAACUCGGUGCCAGCAGCCGCGGUAAUACGGAGGGUGCAAGCGUUAAUCGGAAUUACUGGGCGUAAAGCGCACGCAGGCGGUCUGUCAAGUCGGAUGUGAAAUCCCCGGGCUCAACCUGGGAACUGCAUUCGAAACUGGCAGGCUAGAGUCUUGUAGAGGGGGGUAGAAUUCCAGGUGUAGCGGUGAAAUGCGUAGAGAUCUGGAGGAAUACCGGUGGCGAAGGCGGCCCCCUGGACAAAGACUGACGCUCAGGUGCGAAAGCGUGGGGAGCAAACA
rnacentral:rRNA from 1 species